rnacentral:rRNA from 1 species
AAACCAGCACCUCAAGUGGUCAGGAUGAUUAUUGGGCCUAAAGCAUCCGUAGCCUGCUCUGUAAGUUUUCGGUUAAAUCUGUACGCUCAACGUACAGGCUGUCGGGAAUACUGCAGAGAUAGGGAGUGGGAGAGGUAGACGGUACUCGGGAGGAAGUGGUAAAAUGCUUUGAUCUCUCGAUGACCACCUGUGGCGAAGGCGGUCUACCAGAACACGUCCGGCGGUGAGGGAUGAAAGCUGGGGGAGCAAACCGGAUUAGAAACCCCAGUAGUCC